rnacentral:rRNA from 1 species
UACAGAGGGGGCAAGCGUUAUUCGGAAUUAUUGGGCGUAAAGGGCGCGUAGGCGGCUUUGCAAGUGGCGGGUGAAAUCCCUCGGCUUAACCGAGGAACUGCCUGUCAAACUGCAUGGCUUGAGACCAGGAGAGGUGAGUGGAAUUCCCAGUGUAGCGGUGAAAUGCGUAGAUAUUGGGAGGAACACCAGUGGCGAAGGCGGCUCACUGGACUGGUACUGACGCUGAGACGCGAAAGCGUGGGGAGCGAACAGG